rnacentral:rRNA from 1 species
CACGGGGGUUGCGAGCGUUGUCCGGAAUUACUAGGCGUAAAGGGCAGGCAGGCGGAUCCAUAAGUUUAUCGUUUAAGGCGUCGGCUUAACCGGCGUAGGGCGGUAGAUACUGUGGAUCUGGAAUGCGGUUGGGGAAGACAGAAUUCCUGGUGUAGCGGUGGAAUGCGCAGAGAUCAGGAGGAAUACCGAAGGCGAAGGCAGUCUUCCAAGCCGUUAUUGACGCUCAACUGCGAAGGUGUGGGUAUCAAACAGGAUUAGAUACCCUGGUAGUCACUGA